rnacentral:lncRNA from 1 species
CUACAAGACAGCACCACAGUGUCAAGUACCUGAGUUUCGUAUCAAAUACUGACAUCCGAGCACAAGUAAGAAGUAGGCCAAAAAUGUUGUGCAUCACCCAAAUGACAGCUGAUCUGAAGAUUCGCAUCUUUCAGCAACUCUGGAAAAGCCUUAGUCUGGCAACCCAGGACAAGAUCAUGGUGAAUAAGGGGAAAACAGAGGACUGACUAGAAGAUUGAUUGGGCCAGCGGAGCACAAAUAGAUAUUAAGCAAAAGGAUUAUACAGAGAGCAAUCUUGAUUCUCAGUGCUGUUUUUAGUCUUACUCUUUUUUAAAGAUUAUUUAUUUAUUUUUAGAGAGAGACAGAGGGAGAACACAGAUGGGGG